UACGAAGGGGGCUAGCGUUGCUCGGAAUCACUGGGCGUAAAGGGUGCGUAGGCGGGUCUUUAAGUCAGUGGUGAAAGCCUACAGCUCAACUCCAGAACUGCCUUUGAUACUGAAGAUCUUGAGUUCGGGAGAGGUGAGUGGAACUGCGAGUGUAGAGGUGAAAUUCGUAGAUAUUCGCAAGAACACCAGUGGCGAAGGCGGCUCACUGGCCCGAUACUGACGCUGAGGCACGAAAGCGUGGGGAGCAAACAGG
rnacentral:rRNA from 1 species